AGCCUGUAGCCAAUCACCUGAGGAAGCACCAUACUGAUUGGCUGACCCAGCAUGACAGCUUCUGCUUCAAUACCACCGACACCUGCAAUGAACGGCAUGACCAGAAGAAUGCCUUCAUUACUCCUUACUCUAUCUCUCAGAAAAAGUCUGCUGAUCCCUGCCUGAGUGAAUGAGUGUCUAUUUAUGUGUGUAUAUGUUCGAGAAGAGCAAAAGAGGGAGAGAAAGGAGGGACCCCGGGAUAGCAGAACAAGGCAGGACACCUGCACUGACACUGGCAUCAGCAGACUCUGUGGACCCUCUGGACGAGACACAGCUACUCCUCAAGGCUUCAGGAUCCAGAUCAAGUGACACUCCUUGAAAAACCCACAGACUCCCCAGGUCAGGAUGAUUUGCCCCUUCUCCGUGGUGACUACACUUAUCAACUGCAUGAAAGCUGUGUGUUCACUAAUUUCUCUCCCCUUCUAAACUAUAAUCUGUUUCUGGAAUAAAUACUGGCACAUAAUAGAUCUGCUAAAUGGAUUUAAUUUUUUUAAAAAAGGAAAGCAUCUCUGACCUUGAUUUCUACCACUACAGGUAAGAUUACAACCACAUGUGGCCCCUGCCUCU